UCUGGCGGCAGUAGCGCGGAGGUCCCACCUGACCCCAUGCCGAACUCAGAAGUGAAACGCCGUAGCGCCGAUGGUAGUGUGGGGUCUCCCCAUGCGAGAGUAGGGAACUGCCAGAC
rnacentral:rRNA from 1 species